UACGUAGGGGGCUAGCGUUGUCCGGAAUCAUUGGGCGUAAAGCGCGCGUAGGCGGCCUGGUAAGUCCGCUGUGAAAGUCAAAGGCUCAACCUUUGAAUGUCAGCGGAUACUGCCAGGCUAGAGUCCGGAAGAGGCGAGUGGAAUUCCUGGUGUAGCGGUGGAAUGCGCAGAUAUCAGGAGGAACACCAAUGGCGAAGGCAGCUCGCUGGGACGUGACUGACGCUGAGACGCGAAAGCGUGGGGAGCAAACAGG
rnacentral:rRNA from 1 species